CAUUAAAGAGUUCUAUAACUCCCAAACCCAUGUGAAUAUACCUAACGUUGCCUCGGCAGGUCGCACCUACCUUGUAGCACCCUACCCUGUAGGGCCUACCCGGGAGGUGCGGGUAAGCCUGCCGGCGGCCCACCAAACUCUGUUUGAUAUUGAAUUCUGAACCUAUAACUAAAUAAGUUAAAACUUUCAACAACGGAUCUCUUGGUUCUGGCAUCGAUGAAGAACGCAGCGAAAUGCGAUAAGUAAUGUGAAUUGCAGAAUUCAGUGAAUCAUCGAAUCUUUGAACGCAUAUUGCGCCCAUUAGUAUUCUAGUGGGCAGGACCGUUCGAGCGUCAUUUCAACCCUUAAGCCUUCGUUGCUUAGUGUUGGGAGCCUACGGCAACGUAGCUCCUCAAAGUUAGUGGCGGAGUUGGUUCACACUCUAGACGUAGUAAUUUUUUAUCUCGCCUAUUAGUUGGACUAAUCCCCUGCCGUAAAACCCCCAAUUUAUCAAGGUUGACCUCGAAUCGGUUCAGACAAACUCGCUAAAUUGAAGCAUCUUAGUCAGCGAAGGAAAAGAAACCAACAGGGAUUGCCCUAGUAACGGCGAGUGAAGCGGCAACAGCUCAAAUUUGAAAUCUGGCCCUCGGGUCCGAGUUGUAAUUUGUAGAGGAUGCUUUUGGCGCGGUGCCUUCCGAGUUCCCUGGAACGGGACGCCUUAGAGGGUGAGAGCCCCGUACGGUUGGACACCAAGCCUCUGUAAAGCUCCUUCGACGAGUCGAGUAGCUUGGGAAUGCUGCUCUAAAUGGGAGGUAAAU
rnacentral:rRNA from 1 species